rnacentral:rRNA from 1 species
UACGGAGGGAGCUAGCGUUGUUCGGAAUUACUGGGCGUAAAGCGCACGUAGGCGGCUAUUCAAGUCAGAGGUGAAAGCCCGGGGCUCAACCCCGGAACUGCCUUUGAAACUAGGUAGCUAGAAUCUUGGAGAGGUCAGUGGAAUUCCGAGUGUAGAGGUGAAAAUUCGUAGAUAUUCGGAAGAACACCAGUGACGAAGGCGACUGACUGGACAAGUAUUGACGCUGAGGUGCGAAAGCGUGGGGAGCAAACAGG